UACAGAGGCCUCGAGCGUUGUUCGGAAUUACUGGGCGUAAAGAGUGUGUAGGCGGUGCUCCCAGUCUGUUGUGAAAUCUCCCGGCUUAACUGGGAGGGUGCAGCGGAAACUAGAGUGCUAGAGGGUGGGAGAGGUAAGCGGAAUUCCUGGUGUAGCGGUGAAAUGCGUAGAUAUCAGGAGGAACACCUGUGGUGUAGACAGCUUACUGGACCACUUCUGACGCUGAGACACGAAAGCGUGGGUAGCAAACAGG
rnacentral:rRNA from 1 species